AUCUUAGAAUAAGAUAAAAAAAAAAAGACUCCCUCUCUCUCCCCCUCCCCUAUGGACGUCCCCUCCCCUCUCUCUCUCUCUUCCUCACUUUUCUUUUUCCUCCCUUAUCCACCAAUCAAGUGAGGAUACCCAAAGAUAUGCCUAAGAUCCUCAAGAUUGAGGGAAUAUCACAAAAGUCAAGAACACUUCCCCUUUUUCCCUUAAAGUGUCGGCCCUCCCCCCUUCUCUCCCUCACACUUUCUUCUUCUUCUUCUUCCUCCAUUUUGGCAAAGGAAAAUGCUUCCAAGACUCCACCUUUAUACACCCAAAAGCUAAGAAAUUCCUCAAACUUUCAAAGAUUCAAGGUUUAAGCAUCAAGUAGGGAAAAGCUUCAAGAAAUCCUAAGCAUCAUCUACUUCAUUUCUUUGAUCUUCUUGGAGCACGAGUGACAACCGACGUUAGAACGACGCCGAGCUCUACUUCUCCGACACCGAAGACAAGUUGAGCAGCUGACGGUGGUGAUGAAGUGACGAGCGAGACUUCUUUUGUCUCAGUAUUAUGUAUUAGUGAACUCUUGGGGUACAUGUCUUCAUACAUGUAAUUAGAACCCUUAUUCCGCUGCGUACUCAGAAAUCUUAUGUUAUUUUGGCUAAGUCGGAGUUAUCUGAACUUACUAGUUUAUUUGAGUCAAUAUGAUUAAACCUCCGUUACAUUAUAAAUGUUCCUUUUGUUAACAACAAUUAAA